rnacentral:rRNA from 1 species
UACGAAGGGUGCAAGCGUUACUCGGAAUUACUGGGCGUAAAGUGUGCGUAGGCGGUUUGUUAAGUCUGUCGUGAAAGCCCCGGGCUCAACCUGGGAAUGGCGAUGGAUACUGGCGAGCUAGAGUACGGUAGAGGAGAGUGGAAUUCCCGGUGUAGCAGUGAAAUGCGUAGAGAUCGGGAGGAACAUCAGUUGCGAAGGCGGCUCUCUGGACCAGUACUGACGCUGAGGCACGAAAGCGUGGGGAGCAAACAGG